rnacentral:rRNA from 1 species
CGAAGGAAAGGGGUUCUGAGAGGAAGGUCCCCCACAUUGGAACUGAGACACGGUCCAAAACUCCUACGGGGAGGCAGCAAGUGAGGAAUAUUGGUCAAUGGGCGAGAGCCUGAACCAGCCAAGUAGCGUGAAGGAUGACUGCCCUAUGGGUUGUAAACUUCUUUUAUAAAGGAAUAAAGUCGGGUAUGCAUACCCGUUUGCAUGUACUUUAUGAAUAAGGAUCGGCUAACUCCGUGCCAGCAGCCGCGGUAAUACGGAGGAUCCGAGCGUUAUCCGGAUUUAUUGGGUUUAAAGGGAGCGUAGAUGGAUGUUUAAGUCAGUUGUGAAAGUUUGCGGCUCAACCGUAAAAUUGCAGUUGAUACUGGAUAUCUUGAGUGCAGUUGAGGCAGGCGGAAUUCGUGGUGUAGCGGUGAAAUGCUUAGAUAUCACGAAGAACUCCGAUUGCGAAGGCAGCCUGCUAAGCUGCAACUGACAUUGAGGCUCGAAAGUGUGGGUAUCAAACAGGAUUAGAUACCCUGGUAGUCCACACGGUAAACGAUGAAUACUCGCUGUUUGCGAUAUACAGCAAGCGGCCAAGCGAAAGUCGUUAAGUAUUCCACCUGGGGAGUA